AUACGGAGGAUCCGAGCGUUAUCCGGAUUUAUUGGGUUUAAAGGGUGCGCAGGCGGCCAUUUAAGUCAGCGGUUAAAUCGUGGGGCUCAACCCCAUUCUGCCGUUGAUACUGGGUGGCUUGAUUGCGGUCGAGGUUGGCGGAAUUCGUUGUGUAGCGGUGAAAUGCAUAGAUAUGACGAAGAACACCGAUUGCGUAGGCAGCUGACCAGAUCGCAAAUGACGCUCAUGCACGAAAGUGCGGGGAUCGAACAGGAUUAGAUACCCUGGUAGUCCGCACAGUAAACGAUGACUACUUGUUUUCGGCGAUAUAAUGUCGGAGGCAAAGCGAAAGCGAUAAGUAUUCCACCUGGGGAGUACGCCGGCAACGGUGAAACUUAAAGGAAUUGACGGGG
rnacentral:rRNA from 1 species